AUUGAACGCUGGCGGCAUGCCUUACACAUGCAAGUCGAACGGCAGCGCGGACUUCGGUCUGGCGGCGAGUGGCGAACGGGUGAGUAACAUAUCGGAACGUGCCCUGGAGUGGGGGAUAACUAGUCGAAAGACUAGCUAAUACCGCAUACGCCCUGAGGGGGAAAGUGGGGGAUCGCAAGACCUCAUGCUCGUGGAGCGGCCGAUAUCUGAUUAGCUAGUUGGUGGGGUAAAGGCCUACCAAGGCGACGAUCAGUAGCUGGUCUGAGAGGACGACCAGCCACACUGGGACUGAGACACGGCCCAGACUCCUACGGGAGGCAGCAGUGGGGAAUUUUGGACAAUGGGGGCAACCCUGAUCCAGCAAUGCCGCGUGAGUGAAGAAGGCCUUCGGGUUGUAAAGCUCUUUUGUCCGGGAAGAAAUCCCAUCCCUGAAUACGGGGUGGGGAUGACGGUACUGGAAGAAUAAGCACCGGCUAACUACGUGCCAGCAGCCGCGGUAAUACGUAGGGUGCGAGCGUUAAUCGGAAUUACUGGGCGUAAAGCGUGCGCAGGCGGUUGUGCAAGACCGAUGUGAAAUCCCCGGGCUCAACCUGGGAACUGCAUUGGUGACUGCACGGCUAGAGUGUGUCAGAGGGGGGUAGAAUUCCACGUGUAGCAGUGAAAUGCGUAGAGAUGUGGAGGAAUACCGAUGGCGAAGGCAGCCCCCUGGGAUAACACUGACGCUCAUGCACGAAAGCGUGGGGAGCAAACAGG
rnacentral:rRNA from 1 species